rnacentral:rRNA from 1 species
AAAGGAAUUGACGGGGGCCCGCACAAGCGGAGGAACAUGUGGUUUAAUUCGAUGAUACGCGAGGAACCUUACCCGGGAUUGAAAUGAAGUGGAAUAAUCGUGAAAGCGGUUAGUCAGCAAUGACCACUUUGUAGGUGCUGCAUGGUUGUCGUCAGCUCGUGCCGUGAGGUGUCGGCUUAAGUGCCAUAACGAGCGCAACCCUGACUGUCAGUUGCUAACAGGUAGUGCUGAGGACUCUGGCGGGACUGCCGGCGUAAGCUGUGAGGAAGGUUGGGAUGACGUCAAAUCAGCACGGCCCUUACAUCCGGGGCGACACACGUGUUACAAUGGCAUGGACAAAGGGUUGCUACCUGGUGACAGGAUGCUAAUCUCAAAACCAUGUCUCAGUUCGGAUCGGAGUCUGCAACUCGACUCCGUGAAGCUGGAUUCGCUAGUAAUCGCGCAUCAGCCAUGGCGCGGUGAAUACGUUCCCGGGCCUUGUACACACCGCCCGU